CUACGGGUUGCUCCAGUGGGGAAUAUUGGACAAUGGGGGAAACCCUGAUCCAGCAAUGCCGCGUGUGUGAAGAAGGCCUGCGGGUUGUAAAGCACUUUCGGUUGGGAGGACUGCUUCUAGCACUAAUAUUGUUGGAAGUUGACGUUACCUUCAGAAGAAGCACCGGCUAACUCCGUGCCAGCAGCCGCGGUGAAUACGGAGGGUGCAAGCGUUAAUCGGAAUUACUGGGCGUAAAGCGCGCGUAGGCGGCUAGAUCAGUCGGGUGUGAAAGCCCCGGGCUUAACCUGGGAACUGCAUCCGAUACUGUCUAGCUUGAGUACAGGAGAGGGGAGUGGAAUUCCACAUGUAGCGGUGAAAUGCGUAGAUAUGUGGAGGAACACCAAUGGCGAAGGCAGCUCUCUGGCCUGAUACUGACGCUGAGGUGCGAAAGCGUGGGGAGCAAACAGGAUUAGAUACCCCCGUAGUU
rnacentral:rRNA from 1 species